rnacentral:rRNA from 1 species
UACGUAGGGGGCAAGCGUUGUCCGGAAUCAUUGGGCGUAAAGCGCGUGUAGGCGGCCCGGUAAGUCCGCUGUGAAAGUCGGGGGCUCAACCCUCGGAUGCCGGUGGAUACUGUCGGGCUAGAGUGCGGGAGAGGCGAGUGGAAUUCCUGGUGUAGCGGUGAAAUGCGCAGAUAUCAGGAAGAACACCCGUGGCGAAGGCGGCUCUCUGGGACGGUACUGACGCUAAGGCGCGAAAGCGUGGGGAGCGAACAGG